UACGGGGGGAGCAAGCGUUGUUCGGAGUUACUGGGCGUAAAGGGUGUGUAGGCGGUUCUCUAAGUCUGGUGUGAAAUCUCCCGGCUCAACUGGGAGGGUGCGCCGGAAACUGGAGGGCUUGGAGUGUGGGAUGGGAGAGUGGAAUUCCGGGUGUAGCGGUGGAAUGCGUAGAGAUCCGGAAGAACACCGGUGGCGAAGGCGGCCUGCUGGGCAGUUGCUGACACUGAGGCGCGACAGCGUGGGGAGCAAACAGG
rnacentral:rRNA from 1 species